UCACGAGGCCUGUCAUUCAAACCAUACGUUAUAUGUCAUUUGUAAGAUGAAUCUUCUUUCACUAUCAAAAUGGUGGCCACGUUGAGUCUAGAAGGCAUUCAAGUCUCAGGAUUCUCCAGCCAUACUGAGGAGAGAUUCAGCCUGAGGUUCGUUGGAGCCAGGAUCUCCUUUCAGUCUGAGAUAAGAGUGAGAGAUCAUUUUUAUUGAAACACUGUCAGAGUUUUGAACAACGAGCUCUUCAAAUCAAUUCUUGUCUGGCUGGUGAAUGAAAUGUGUAGUCAAGCCUCUGCUGCUAUCCUUCUCAGGAAAUGGGCCAACAUGACAACCAAAUCCUGACCUCCCUGAAGUUCUCUGAGAGGGCUGUGGCUCACCGGAGAGUGGAAAAAGAUAAAGUUGCUUCAAAGUCUAUGAAGAGGAGACUGAGAGGAAAAAAGAAAGAAGGAAAGAGAGAAAGAAAGAAAGGACUAUAAUACUGCUUAUUGUCACAUAAAGGAAUAAAGUGGAAAUUCUCAAA